UACAGAGGUCUCAAGCGUUGUUCGGAUUCACUGGGCUUAAAGGGCGCGUAGGCGGGUCGCCAAGUCUGGGGUGAAAUCUUUCGGCUUAACCGGAAAAUAGCCCUGGAUACUGGCGAUCUCGAGGGUGGUAGGGGCAUGUGGAACUUCCGGUGGAGCGGUGAAAUGCGUUGAUAUCGGAAGGAACACCAGUGGCGAAGGCGACUUUCUGGCCUGUUCUUGACGCUGAGGCGCGAAAGCUAGGGGAGCAAACGGG
rnacentral:rRNA from 1 species